UAACAUUCUUCAUUUUGAAAUGGUAGGCAUCUUUAUAAAAAGCUGAAAACAUAUAACAAUGUCCACAAAAUCAGAUUUGUUAAUCCACACAUUAUCCCAUAUGUGGCAUGUGUGACUCGACUGGACAAAAACAGCAAAUUCGAGCAGUUGAAUGAAAGAGCUAGUGUUUUGGCAGAUAAGCUGAGUCAAGCAUCAAGAAAUCAACUUGUUUUGGUGCCACAUAAUGUUGGUUAUCAUUGGAUUCUCACUGUCAUUGAUCCAUAUAAGGAGACAGUUUAUUUGUUGGAUUCGCUUAGUCAUCGCAUUCGUGACGAGGAUUGGAAAUACGUAGUAGAUAUUUCAUCAAACCCCAGUACUCUAGAGAAGAAAUUGAUGAAGUGCGUUCCGAGUGGGCAGAAUGCAUACAAGACUAUAUUUAUGACUAG